rnacentral:lncRNA from 1 species
CCCCUUCGCUCCUCCUCCUCUCCUUGGUGACCGGCGUCCUCUUCCCGACCGAGCGCCGCCCGGACUCCCUCGCGGCCACCACCUGUUCCGAGAUUCAUCCUCUAGAUUUCGAGCGCCGCCACCGCCGCUUGACCACUGAAUCGAACACCGGCGGCCGAGAUCUUCCUCCCACUACCUCUGCCACCGCCGGUAAGCCUCCCUCCUCCUUGCUUUCAUGGGUUUUGGUCUCCUCUGUUUCAACCCAAUCUCGGUUGCUUCUCCUUCCCGUCGGCCACGACGACAGUCGCCGGCCGCCAUGGCGGCCGGCUAGCCAUCGACCGAGGGGUGGCCUCCGGCCACCCAGGCCGGCCACCCCGCCGGCCCUCUCCCUCUCUUCCGUCUCUCCUACUCCCCCUGUCCGUGGGGGGGAUUUUGGGGAAGGAAGAGGCCCAUCACGGGCCAAGCUGGGCCCGUUGGGCCCUAUCCAUUGCAGGCCCAACUUGGGCCCAGUCCAGUCCGGAUGGGCCCAGCUGGGCUGAACCUCUAUAGGCCCGACUUGGGCCCAGUUCACGGCGGGCCCGACUUGAGCCCAGUUCACGGCAGGCCCAGUUUGGGCCCAGUUUUUUUUUUAAAAAAAAAGAGAGAAAGAAGAAGAAAACCCGAAACCCAACUUGGGCCCUAUUCAGAUCCGAGCCCGGAACCCGAACCCGGAUCUGAAACCCGGAACCCGAAACCCNNNNNNNNNNNNNNNNNNNNNNNNNNNNNNNNNNNNNNNNNNNNNNNNNNNNNNNNNNNNNNNNNNNCUGUAAUUUGUAUCUGAUCCCUAUAGAAAAGAUUUAUUACAUAAAGGUCCCCAACUAUAUUUUAUUUAGCCCACUCGAGCUUUAUAAAAUAGUACCCUGUAAAUUAAGUAUUAGUCCCUGCAAUAAAUUUUAUUGUAUAAAUGAACUAAUUAGAAGCCAACCUUGGGGGCCCUACUUAGCUGGGUCUAUACGGGCCAAUUGGGCCGUGCUCAAUGUGGGCCUAUCGGGCCAUGCCCAUUAUGGGCCAACUCUGGGCCCUGUUGGGCCGUGUCCAAUAGUAUUAUUUUUGGAUUUUUGCUUAAUUCUGAUAUUAACAAAGAAUUAAUUAAAUUUAAACAGGUGAACUUGAUCUGCCUAUCUGAAGUAGGAAUUAAGCGAGAAGAGGUAAGUAACUUAAUGCUUCAAAGUGCAUUUUCGAAAUUAUUUGGUAAAAUAAUUAUUAGUGGAUUAAUUUCGAAAUAUGUUUUGUAUUUAGUAAAAUGGGUCUGGCAUGUUAAAUUUCAUUUGAAAAUUUUGUUAUAUACUCUGAAAUCCGUAAAAUAUGAUUGGAUAAUUUAUGAAAUCUAUUUUUCUGUAUAUAUGCAUUCUCAGCAUGGCUAUGAUCUGUUCUACUCUGUUCUGGCCCUGCCAAUGGGGAUUAUACGUUGGACCUGUCGACUUGUUAUCUGUGAGGAACCGGUUUCGACACCGCACCACCGGUGAUUAGAAUAGUGGUUUCUGGACACCGGCUGUCAUCGGUGGGUAAAUAUAGUGGAUUUGGCACCUUGUGCGACCCAUGCCACUGGGUUACGUGGCCGUAGCUUAUUUUGUUGAGAUUCUGGUAUCAGAAUUUUUGGAAAAAUGAUAAUAAGUUUUGAAAAUAGUAAAACGAUGUUAUUUAUGAUUUAUUCCAGUCAUUAUCCUGUAUUUUGACCUGAUAUGCUCCGACCCCACUUUGGGGUAUUUUGUUGCUUACUGGGCUAGUGUAGCUCAUUAUUUUAUUUUCUCUGUUUUUCAGAUCCAGAGGCUUGAUCGCACGGGAAUGGGGAGUG